UGCUGGUGUAGUGGCCUGCGGCCUACCCCCUAACAAAGUACUCUAAUUGGAUUUAUCACCAAAUGAAACUGUCAGUAAUGGCGACAGGUGCUUUCUUCAUUCUUUCAUUCGUUCAAGUCUGGAACAUCCCUUUGGGUAAGAUGGUGGGGGAGACCUCUGGACAGACCCGGCAAACCGAAGCGUGUAGUGCGGAUGAACUGGGAACGUUUGGAGGAGUCCUCUGUCCGGAGGGACUUCAACUCCCACCUCUUGCGGGACUUCUCUGCCAUCCCUGUGGAGGUUGGGGACAUUGAACAGGAAUGGACAAUGUUCAAAGUAGGGCUGUGCGAUAUGGCCUUUUUUUUAAUAUCUCGAUAUUUUUAGGCCCUAUCUCGAUACACGAUAUAUAUCUCAAUAUUUUGCCUUGGCCUCGAAUCAACACUUGAUGCUUUUAAUCACAGCAGUAUGAUGAUCCAAUGUGUCUACAUUAAAACAUUCUUGUUCAUACUGCAUUAAUAUAUGCUAAUUUUAAACUUUCAUGCACAGAAGGAAAUCACAACUAAGUCAAUUAACCAAAACUGUAUUUAUUAAAUAGUUAUUAAGCAAUGGCACAAACAUUCAUGUCAUUUCCAAAACAGA